GGAAUAUUGGACAAUGGGCGAAAGCCUGAUCCAGCCAUGCCGCGUGUGUGAAGAAGGUCUUCGGAUUGUAAAGCACUUUAAGUUGGGAGGAAGGGCAUUAACCUAAUACGUUAGUGUUUUGACGUUACCGACAGAAUAAGCACCGGCUAACUCUGUGCCAGCAGCCGCGGUAAUACAGAGGGUGCAAGCGUUAAUCGGAAUUACUGGGCGUAAAGCGCGCGUAGGUGGUUUGUUAAGUUGAAUGUGAAAUCCCCGGGCUCAACCUGGGAACUGCAUCCAAAACUGGCAAGCUAGAGUAUGGUAGAGGGUAGUGGAAUUUCCUGUGUAGCGGUGAAAUGCGUAGAUAUAGGAAGGAACACCAGUGGCGAAGGCGACUACCUGGACUGAUACUGACACUGAGGUGCGAAAGCGUGGGGAGCAAACAGGAUUAGAUACCCUAG
rnacentral:rRNA from 1 species